rnacentral:lncRNA from 1 species
UGUUUGUAUUGAGGAUGAAACCCAGGGCCUUGUACAUGGUUGUAAGUCUAGUACAUCUCCUGCCACUGAACUACAUCUCUGUCUUUCCUGUUUUUUUAUUCUCAUUUUACGUUACGUAUGUAGAGGUCAGAAGUGACUUGCCCAGUCAUUCCUCUCCUUCCACCAUGUGGAUCUCAGGGAUCAAACUCAGGUCUUUGGGCUUGUCAACCUGUACCCACUGAACCAGCUCACCAGCAGUUUUGUUUUGUUUUGUUUGUUUUGUUCUCCUUGAGACAGGAUCUUGUAGAUAUCCCAGGCUGCCUUUGAACCUCUAACACCCCCCCCCCCCCAUCUUAGCCUUCCUAGUAGCUACAAUCACAGAUGUGCAUCACUGGGUGGCUGGGGUACGAGUUUCUGAAAGUGAAAUGACAGGACACACUUUAUAAUGCUACUUAGAGGUUGGGGCUUAGGAUGUGUAGUAUAUAGUAGCCGCAUGCUGCGCCUCUUAUAGGUGUUACCCUGUUCACUGGUCUAAUGAAGGAAGGAGGAAAUCCCAUUGUGUCCAUUACACAGAAGGGGAAGCUGAGGCCCACAGAGGCCCAUCAACAUAAAGCCACACUGCCUGAGAGUACUCCGAUGUUUUCUAGGUCGGAGUGUGUGCUCUUUGCCGCUUGAUUGAAUGCGUCUAGGGUAGCAGUUCUCAACUGUCAUGUCCCCUUUGGGGGUCAAAUGCCCCCUUCACAGGAGUCACCUAAGACCAUCAGAAAACACAGAUAUUUAUAUUAUGGUUCAUAACAGUUGCAAACCUACAGUUAAGAAGUAGCGACAAAAAUGUUAUGGUUGGGGGUCACCCCCAACAGCAUGAGGAAGGUUGAAAACCAUUGGUCUAGGUCACGCGAUUGCUGAUUUUACUGAGGACUCAUUGGGCACUGGGGACUGUGCUGAGCGCUUGUAGCUUUGACUCAGUUGUUUUGUUUGCUGUUGUACUGGGCCCCAGGCCUGGAGGGCACUAAGCAGGCGCUCUAUCACUGCCAUUCGUCCUGUUUCCAGGCAGGGUCUCACCAAGUUGCCUAGGCGGGCCUUGAACUUGUGAUCCUCGUGCCUCGGCCUCCCAAAAAGCUGGGAUGACAGGCCUGUGCCACCAAGCCUACCUGACUUACUCAUCUUUCAGAAUUGCUCUCUGACAGGUUGGGGGUCUCAUGACUUUUCUUCUGAGCCAGAUAGAAGGUAGUCGGACUAACACAGAGUGUGUGGUCUGAGUCAGACCCACUGUGGGUGGUUUACUGUUGUGGUUUGCGGCUCACGUUACAACUACUCACAGUACAGUACACUGAGACCCCAAACAGCUUGGGUAUUUAAGUGUCAAGGCUCACUUGCCCCGCCUGGAAGGUGUGAGGUCCAGGUUCUAGCCCAGAAUUCACUGUAGCAACAAACAAACGUCAUGGGUUGAAAUGGCUCAGAGGGGAAAAGCCCUUGUCACAUAGGCUCAGUAACCUGGGUUUACUACUAGGCACCCAAGGUGGGAAGGGGCAAAUGGCCCCCCUCAAAAUCCUCUGACCUCCACACAAGCAAACAAGUGCCAGAGAGAGUGCAGACGCUGCCCGGAGAGGAUAGACAGUUUCCGUACAGCCCAGCAAUCUGCUCUAAUUAGCUUGCCAAAAAACAAGGCUACACAUAGAGACCUGUAUGCCAUUUCUCACUGUAGCCCCGAAGUGGAAGUUGUACCGUUGUCCCUCAGCCGAAGAAUGAAUAAAUGAGGUAACCCAGACCCUUACGUACAGUAGCCUUCGCCUGCAGUCAGGGAGUGGGUGGAAUAGGCCUGUCAUUGCCAUGCUUUCAGGCUGAGGCAGGAGGAUCCUGAGUUCCAGGCUUGCCCAGGUCAUUCUUGGCAAAGGAGAGGAAGGAGGCAUACUAGAACGAGCAGCGACUGUGGCACAGCCGUGAGUAGGCUACAGGGUGAAGUCUGUGAUGCCUGACUUGUUUUGUUUUGAGGCCAGGUUUGAUAUGUAGCCUCAGGUGGUCUGGAACUCAGUAUAUCAACCAAGCUUGCCUCAUACUUACAGUAAUUCUCCUGCCUCUGCCUCCAAGGUGUUGGGAUUCCACAAAGCACCAGUAAAACCAGUCAUAGUGGCCCACACUUGUAGUCUCAGAACUUUGAGAGGCCAAGGCAGGAGGAUUUCCCUAAGUUCUUGGCAAACCUAGGCUGUAUAGGGAGACCCUGUCUUUUAAAAAAAAAAACAACAGAAAAGCAAGGGCUGGAGAGCUGGCUCAGCAGUUAAGAGCACCUAUGCUCCUGCAGAGGACCCAGGUUUGUUCCCAGCACCCACAUCGGGUGGCUCACAGCCGCCUGGCAUGCUACCUCCAAGAAGUUUGAUACUUCUGGUCUCUAUGGGCACCUGCAUGCAAGUACACAUACUAGCACAAGGAACCAAACAGAACUGAGCCUGAAAUUCCAGCAUUUGGGAAGUGGAAGCAAGAGGAGCAGGAGUUCAAGGUCUGCUGGGCUGCAGGAGACAGGGUCUC